rnacentral:rRNA from 1 species
AUGGCGGCAAAGAAACAACUCUUUCGCUUUGGGUCUUUCGCGAUACAGGACGGGUCGGAGAUUCGUUUUUUGGGAAGACAUCUGGAUAGGCAAUGCAGUCUCAGAGAAAAAUAUUCAGCCUUAUAUAAUAUCACUCGCGAUAAGAAGAAUACUAUUACGCACGUGCUCGGUUUUCCCCCGCCGAAUAUUUCGUUCAGGCGGGAUUUGAUUGGCCCCUGGCUUGUAUCAUGGCAUAAUCUUUUAUCCCGGCCGGAUUCGAUUAACCUGACACAAGGUCGGGAUGUGUUUCGCUGGAACCUUACUACAUAA